rnacentral:lncRNA from 1 species
GCCUGAAAAAGGAUAUCAAAUGUUUGUCAAAUAUCACAUGCUUAAAAUAUCACAACAUAAGUUGUACUGACUACAGCUCUCCAUAAGGUCCAGACGCCCUUAUAUUUGUAAAUAUAUGUACAUGUAUAACAUAUAGAGGCAAAACAAAGUUACAAGAGCAACUAUACCAUUAAAUUAAAACAACGGGGGAAGGUUCCAAUUUCAACCAUGUUUAACCCCACCACAAUUAAGGAGCGCAUAAUUCAGUUGCUGUUGAUUAAUGCUAUUAAUCUUUUCUUUUCGUUAAUAGUUUUGUAUAUAAAUCAGGUCUUCAGUUUUCUUGUUUGACACAAUUUCGGGGCCUUCAAUAGCUUACUAUGCGGUACAAAAUUUGCUCUUUGGCCAUCAUAUUACAUCUUCUUAUUUUUAUAGAUCGAAUAAAUCAUAUACAGGUUAUUAUGGUUACUGGUAAUGAUAAAUAACCAUAUGAUAUUUUUCUUUUUAUUUGAAAUCAAUUGCACACAACAACAGCACUUUUUUAACAUGUACAUGAUAUAUAUAAUAAUAAUAAAUUGCAGUGCUGCACAUACUUUAAAAGACAUGAUAAAUCAACACACAUACAUCACAGUACCCUAUCACACAUUUCAAAUAUAUAUUAAUAAACAAUGCAAAGGAGUAGGGGUACCAAGACACAGUUUCAGCCUGAAAAAUAACCUUUUUGAUAACUAUUUCAAAUUUGAAUGUUAUGUUUAGAAAUGACUAAAAAAUAUAAUGACAUAACAUUAUAAAUCUGAUGAUAUCAUUAGCUGCUCAAAUUUCAUGAAAAUGAAGAAAACUGCAGAACUUAUGCAGUUUCAUUCCUUAUUUCCAUAGAACUGGAAGCAUCAUGCACAGCGCAGAAAAAAAAACAUUAACCAGGUGCUCCGCAGGGCGCAGCUUUAUACGACCGCAGAGGUCGAACCCUGAACAGUUGGGGCAAGUAUGGACAAAACAUUCAAGCGUGAUACAGCUCUGAAUUUGGAUUGUGAUCAAAUGUUUGACAAUACAUGGGUUUUUUUUACACAAAACAAAUGUCAAGAUUUUACAAAUCAAUUAAAGAUUUCUUCUUCAAACUUUUUAAAUCUAAAAUUAAAAAGUUGACACAGCAUAGGUUUCUGACACAGAAUGAAUGUGGUCUAAUGAACUUAAAAGUUUUUUUUUGCCUUUGAGCAAUUCACUAUGCUGUUGAAUAUUAAUCCUCUCAAAAAAAUGUUUGAAGAAAUUUUCUUUUUAUUUAUGAAAUCUGAAAUGAGAAAAAUUUGAACCCCCCCCCCCCUUUUUUUCACAUCCCUGUUUCCCCUUUUCCAAAACUGAUAUCAAUUCAAAUUUCUAAUGGAGUUUGCAACAAUAACUACUCUUUUAAAUACAUCAUAAAAUAUUAAAAUGUAAAAUAAAGUGCUUGUUAUCACUGAAUGGUAAAGAUUGGUUGGUAGUAAAAGUGAAUAUACAUUGUUUAUU